rnacentral:lncRNA from 1 species
ACGGGUGCCGUGCUGCGCGUACCCCGCCGGCGCCGGGUACGGGUUGGGGUCGUAGUACCUGGCCGGCUCCUUGAUGGCGACGCGAACGUCGAGGCGGCCGUGUGGCCUCCCCGAUGGCCGCUUGAGGCGGAGGUUGCGGGAGGCCUUCCCCCCGAUCCCCGCGUCGUCGAGGACGUCGCGGAGCGGGAGGCGCGCUGAGCCGACGAGCGGCUUGACCCCCUCGGCGGCGUUGGCGUGGACGACGUCGAGGUAGAGGACGGCGUCGUCGAGGCGGGAGGAGGGCGGGAGCGGGACGAGGAGCUUCUCGUCCCAGGAGGGGCUCUCGCCGUUGUCGAGGUCGACGCGGGUGGAGCACUUGGCGCCGGAGUCGACCCAGACGACGGCGUACGGCUUGAG